rnacentral:rRNA from 1 species
UACAGAGGCCUCGAGCGUUAGGCGGAAUCACUGGGCUUAAAGCGUGUGUAGGCGGACUUCUAAGUACCUUGUGAAAUCCCACGGCUCACCCGUGGAACUGCUGGGUAUACUGGUCGUCUUGAGCCUUCUAGGGGCUACCGGAACAAAUGGUGGAGCGGUGAAAUGCGUAGAUAUCAUUUGGAACGCCAAUGGUGAAAACAGGUAGCUGGGGAAGUGCUGACGCUGAGACACGAAGCCAGGGAGCGAACGGG